GAUUGAACGCUGGCGGCAUGCUUUACACAUGCAAGUCGAACGGUAACAGGUCUUCGGAUGCUGACGAGUGGCGAACGGGUGAGUAAUGUAUCGGAACGUGCCCAGUAGUGGGGGAUAACUACUCGAAAGAGUGGCUAAUACCGCAUGAGAACUGAGGUUGAAAGCGGGGGACCUUCGGGCCUCGCGCUACUGGAGCGGCCGAUAUCAGAUUAGGUAGUUGGUGGGGUAAAGGCCUACCAAGCCGACGAUCUGUAGCUGGUCUGAGAGGACGACCAGCCACACUGGGACUGAGACACGGCCCAGACUCCUACGGGAGGCAGCAGUGGGGAAUUUUGGACAAUGGACGCAAGUCUGAACCAGCCAUCCCGCGUGCAGGAAGACGGCCCUAUGGGUUGUAAACUGCUUUUCCAGGGAGAGAAACUUACGCACGUGUUGCGUGACUGACGGUACCCUGGGAAUAAGCAUCGGCUAACUCCGUGCCAGCAGCCGCGGUAAUACGGAGGAUGCAAGCGUUAUCCGGAUUCAUUGGGUUUAAAGGGUGCGUAGGCGGGCUAUUAAGUCAGUGGUGAAAUCCUGCAGCUUAACUGCAGAACUGCCGUUAAUACUGAUAGUCUUGAGUUUGGUUAAGGUAGGCGGAAUGUGUAAUGUAGCGGUGAAAUGCUUAGAUAUUACACAGAACACCAAUUGCGUAGGCAGCUUACUGAGCCGACACUGACGCUGAGGCACGAAAGCGUGGGGAUCAAACAGGAUUAGAUACCCUGGUAGUCCACGCCGUAAACGAUGAUUACUCGCUGUUGGCGAUACACUGUCAGCGGCUAAGCAAAAGCAAUAAGUAAUCCACCUGGGGAGUACGGCCGCAAGGUUGAAACUCAAAGGAAUUGACGGGGGCCCGCACAAGCGGAGGAACAUGUGGUUUAAUUCGAUGAUACGCGAGGAACCUUACCUGGGCUUAAAUGUAGAGUGCAUUUUCUAGAGAUAGAAAUUCCCUUCGGGGCUUUCUGCAAGGUGCUGCAUGGUUGUCGUCAGCUCGUGCCGUGAGGUGUCGGGUUAAGUCCCAUAACGAGCGCAACCCUUAUCGUUAGUUGCCAGCUGGUAAAGCAGGGGACUCUAGCGAAACUGCCACCGUAAGGUGAGAGGAAGGUGGGGAUGACGUCAAAUCAGCACGGCCCUUAUGUCCAGGGCUACACACGUGUUACAAUGGCCGGUACAGAGGGCUGCUACCUGGUGACAGGAUGCUAAUCUCGAAAACCGGUCUCAGUUCGGAUCGAAGUCUGCAACUCGACUUCGUGAAGCCGGAUUCGCUAGUAAUCGCGCAUCAGCAACGGCGCGGUGAAUACGUUCCCGGGCCU
rnacentral:rRNA from 1 species